rnacentral:snRNA from 2 species
GGAUGUGAGGGCAACCUGGCUAUGACAUAUGUCAUUCUAUUGAUCACCAGGGUUGAUUCAGCUGUUCUGGCCAGCUAAGCAGGUGUCCCCUUCCUCCCUCACCACUCCAUGUACAUUCUUCUCAAGGCUGCAUGGUCAGUCAAAGAGGACAUUUCCUGAUAGAAGAUGACCAUUCUUUGGUCAAGAGUAUAUGAGUAGCUGUGCUCCCUUGCUAGAACCUUCAAACAAGCUCUCAAUGUCCAUUUGUAGGAGAAUGUAGAGCAGUCAAGCUUCCAAGACUCCAGACAUACCCAAAUGAUGUGCUGUAUGUAGCAAUCUGCCUUUCUUA